UCAAACUUGGUCAUUUAGAGGAAGUAAAAGUCGUAACAAGGUUUCCGUAGGUGAGUUGAAUAAUUUCAUUCGCUCUUGUUUUUAUUUCUGUACAUAUAUGCUAACGAGUUUUCCAGGUGAACCUGCGGAAGGAUCAUUAUCGAGGUACGGGCUUCGGCUCGAACCCACACCCAUUGUCGAUUGGCCUUGUUGCUUCGGUGGGCCGUCGGGUCCCCUGCCCCUGGCUUCGGCUGGGGAGUGCCCACCGAAGGACCGCAUCAAACGCAGUGAAGAAUGAGAUGUCUGAGUCUAUUUUGAAUCAGUCAAAACUUUCAACAACGGAUCUCUUGGUUCUGGCAUCGAUGAAGAACGCAGC
rnacentral:misc_RNA from 1 species